UGCUCGCGUCGAGUGACCGCUC
rnacentral:miRNA from 1 species